CCUGAAAAUUUCCAGUGAUGCGUUAUCCAUAGUAGGCGGUGAGAUCGACACGAGUCACAAAGCGCCCAUUCAAGUAUCCAUACUGUACAUCUCAACAAUAUCUCCAGAUAAUCACACACAUCACCAGUUAGACAGCCACCAUGUCCGGUCAAGGAGGCAAAGUUCCUACACAGAAGGACAAUGACAAUCAUGCCGACCAAUGUAACCCCAACAGUACGAAGCACCAAGGUUAUGACCGCCAUUUCCAGGGGGACAAGAAGGAUGCCGAUAAUCACGGCGUCCAGCUAAAUCCAAACAACGACAAGUACACAGCCCCCAAAAAGUGAUAAACGGCUGGACAAUCCAGGAAUAUGAGACUAUGGCGUCUGAAAACAAAAUUUGAGAACAUUAACUUUUUUUUUUUUUAAAUGUACAAGAAAUUGCAUAUCAGCAAAAAGUUUUGAUAUUGUGAAUCAAUUUAACCAUGUCUCUUAAUUAAACAUAUUGAUUUGA